rnacentral:rRNA from 1 species
GGGCCCGCACAAGCGGUGGAGCAUGUGGUUUAAUUCGAUGAUACGCGAGGAACCUUACCAGGGCUUAAAUGCAGAAUGACAGAUUGGGAAACCAGUCCUUCUUCGGACAUUUUGCAAGGUGCUGCAUGGUUGUCGUCAGCUCGUGCCGUGAGGUGUCAGGUUAAGUCCUAUAACGAGCGCAACCCCUAUUCUUAGUUGCCAGCGGGUAAUGCCGGGAACUCUAAGGAGACUGCCAGCGCAAGCUGCGAGGAAGGUGGGGAUGACGUCAAAUCAUCACGGCCCUUACGUCCUGGGCUACACACGUGCUACAAUGGAUGGUACAAUGGGCAGCCACUACGCGAGUAGGCGCGAAUCUUCAAAGCCGGUCUCAGUUCGGAUCGGAGUCUGCAACUCGACUCCGUGAAGCUGGAAUC